rnacentral:rRNA from 1 species
AAUCAAGUGUUAUAAGGGCGUUUAGUGGAUGCCUUGGCACACAGAGGCUAUGAAGGACGUGAUACGCUGCGAUAAGCGUUGGGGAGCUGCG